rnacentral:rRNA from 1 species
UACGUAGGGGGCUAGCGUUGUCCGGAAUCAUUGGGCGUAAAGCGCGUGUAGGCGGUCCGGUAAGUCCGCUGUGAAAGUCGGGGGCUCAACCCUCGGAUGCCGGUGGAUACUGUCGGGCUUGAGUACGGAAGAGGCGAGUGGAAUUCCUGGUGUGGCGGUGAAAUGCGCAGAUAUCAGGAGGAACACCAAUAGCGAAGGCAGCUCGCUGGGACGUUACUGACACUGAGGCGCGAAAGCGUGGGGAGCGAACAGG